ACGCCGCGCCCUGCAGCUCUGCAGGCCAGUCUUGUUUCACAUUUUAAUCACGCACUACCUAUCGAAAAUAUCUGGGGACCUGAGCUAUUCCAGCAAGGUCCCUGGAUAUUUCCGAAGGGUAGUACAUAGCCAUGGGCCCCUGAAUUUCUUUCUAAAUUGAAUUCAUUCACGAAGUGUUGAAGAAUUUGCUUGCCGAGGGGAAGGAGAUAGGUCUGUCUGCAAGCAUGUAGUCCGGAUAUGAAGAUGUAUCGGUUGAAGUGAAGGUUCAACAUGAUUCGGCGGGCAGAGGAGCGUUCGUCGCCGGGCAUCGCUGCCUCUCCAGCAAGCAGCGGUCGGCGCCGGCACAUUUGGGGCGACGUCUAUUCACCACCGUAAGAAGGACCAGAAUGGUAUAACCAUCACCAGCGACACUGGUUCGCAGCACCAUCACGCACUCCCACGAUGAUUGAACAGUAAAGCUUUUGGUUCCCCCCGGACAGCAGGGUAUAUUGCGCGGGUAACACAAGUCCUGGGGGCCGGCGUUCAGGAAUGAUCAACCUAAGGGAUUUCUUUCUUUGCCUGGUCAUAACGACCAGGCUAAUUCAUAGUGACAUAUUUUGAAUUCUCGGUGUUAGCUUAAGAUUGUAUGUUUGUUCUUACAUUAGCCGUUUAAGCAUAUAUUUAACCAGUGUCAACAGUCGGCCACGUUAUUCUAGCAUAAGUGUGUAUGGAAUAUUCAUAUUAAUAGAUUUUAACAUAACAUUUUUCUUAGUAUCAAUAAUCCAAUUUUUGUCUUGAUGUUAGUUAUUGAUGUAUCAGUAUUUAAUCAAGUUAGUUAGGUCCCCCGGACAGCAGGGAAUAUUGUGAGGGUACCACCGGUCCUGGGGGAGGCUUGUACGAAUGCGCGGCUAUAUGGAAAGAAGGCUACAAUGAGCCAUUUUUUUGUCUUGAUGUUAGUUAUCGAUGUAACAGUAGAGGUCGUGUUUAAGUGUCUACAUUUAUGAAUGUCGUAAAAAAAGGAAUCAUAACGUUUAAUUAAUAUUCGCAGCCUGUUCGUAAGUUAAGAUAUGUCUUGGUAUGUGACGGAGCUACUCAUAUACCAACAGCGCAACCUAUAUGUUAGUACUAAGUUUAUUCAAUGUAUCGUUUCAAUAUAUUGUAUUCAAGUCGGCGCCCCUAUGUGGUCUUAAAAAACUUGUCGAUGUGUGUGUGAAAGCUAUAACAACUUAUGGGACAAAUAUAGUCGGUGUCGCUGA